AUGAGAGGUAAGUUUCAGCAACCGAGUGUCUUAUUUUCAUUGAAAACCAUCGUCCAACAGCGACUCACGAACUGCAUUUCUUUAGAACCUAUGCAGCAGUCCCUUGUCGACAAGGACAACGAUCUGGUGGGAGCACAGAAGGUGGCGAGAGAGAAAACCAAGGCUGCCAAAGAGAAGUUGGCUGCAAUCAAGAAGCUUGAGGAGAACAAAUCGCUAAAGACUGUUGCUGAGGAGGCGAAGAAGGAGAUCGCCGAGCUCAAAAAGCGACAAGCCGAGUGGGAUGACAAGUUCAAGACCCAGGCGAGUGCUUUCGAGCAGGAGAAGAAGACUUUGAACGAGAAGAUCGCUUACCCGAAAAAGGGACUCUCUGGAGAAGUACAUACAGGAUUCUACCGAGGAGAUGCGCGCCAAGCUCGAAGAUAUUUUAUACCGUCCGGGUGA
rnacentral:rRNA from 1 species